CACAGGUGGAAUGAAAGAACCUGGUAGAUCUUCUUCUCACUGUUGGUGACUUUUAGUUUUUUGGGCCCAGUCCCUGUCCUACAAAGUGGUACUGCAAGUGGAUUCAUUUAUCAGGUUUCCCAGAGACUAUGGGUUGAGGAGGAAUUGAAAGUUUGUCGGCUUAGACCUGGUGUCAUUCCAUCAGUGUUUAACUUCCCGGCUCAUCUUGGAAGAGUACGUGCCAGAAAGACCACGACCAAGCAGCCUUGAGAUCUUAGGCAGCGUCUCCCUGAGACCAAAGAACUACAGACUCUUCACAACCUGCUCAAACUCUUGGUACAGGACCUCACCACACGGGUCAAGAAGGUUUCUGUCUCAUUUCUACUCUGAAGCUCACCUUCUCCUGCUCAAACUGCUGAUAAAUGUUUCUGUUGCUCUAAAGUCUGGUCUCCAGAACUUCCUAAAAACUCUCAAAGUCUCUUCUGCUGCAGGUUGCUUUCUAGAACUGUUCCAGAAAACCUCACUAAACCACAUGGAGGGGUCUCAAGAUAGUCGUCCAAAUGAAACCAUACAAAAACCAAACUAGCACAACCCAAACGCUAAAGUCUCCUGCAGCCUACCAGAGAACCUCUGAGAACAGAGAAUCAGGACAGGAACUCUUACCUUCUGGACAACCAACGUUGCUUCACAAACAAGAAUACAGAAUGUGUCUGACCAAAAACCUCUAAAGACUCACUACAGCCAAGAUAAAGACACAACUCAGCUGUACCAAAUCCACUGAUCACUGCACACAUUAGCACCAUGUCCUAACUGUGGCUAAAGAACCACAUUUACCAAGACAACUAUCCAGUACAAAACCCUAAAACACACCAAGAAACACAUUAAAGACGAUUUUACUGCUGGAAGCUGCAAGCCAACGCCUAAAGAACUAACUAAAGCAACGGAGCCAAACCCGGUUCUGUGGUGAAGAGAAGCAGAGGAAAUGUUUGUCUGCAGCUAAAUAAAGCAGGAAGACACUGAGCUGCUCAGGUGUUCCUGAUAACACCAAGCUGCUCAGGUGUUCCUAAUAACACCAAGCAGCCACCUGGACAGCCAAUAGGAACACAGUUUCCUGGAAGUCCAGAGGGCUGGCUUAGUGAAGGAAAUUUAGUUUAAAGUUGAAGCAGAAAGUUAACAAAGAAAGCUGAAAACCACCUUCUGAUACCUGAAAUCUCUGAGUUUUCACACAAAGAACACCUGAACAUGUCAAACUGGUUCCAUAGUAGAACCAUCAUUGUAAAAACGUCAUAGUAUGGUGUGUUGCUCAAAAAACAUUAGGACCCAGCUGUCAGGGGACAAACAUGUAAGAAACAUGAGAACAGAGAGAACCCAACCAGUAGGUCACAGUUUAUCAUCCCCCAGUCAUCUCCUGAAGUCCAUAUGGUGAGAGACAUCAGUAUCUGGUUGUUAAUUUACCAGAGGAUGCUUAUAAUCAUGCUGAUGUGGUCUGUACUCUACAGUAUUUUAGUGACUCAAUAAAUGCCUAAGUUGUUUUUUUAAAUGCUUUUUAGUUUUUAAUAAACAUUUAAUAGCCUAUAUGUAAUCAAUAAAUGGCCUUUGCCUAUCUUAAGAAAAACUCACUCAGAACUCUGAUAUGUUAACAGUACUAAAUAAAUCAAUAAAUACAUGCAUACACACAAAAAUAAGUUAAUACAUUAACUGUGUUAAGAUAAGAUUUAGAUUUUUUUUUUUUAAAAAGUUGCUUAUGUUUUUGCAGAAUCCAGUAUUACUCACUGGUUGGUCAUUACAUUUUGUUAGUUUGAUUUCACUGUUUAAAAUGAUGCCACCUCUUUUCAGACAGAACCUGUGAUAAUAAAAUAAUACAAAAUUUUUAGUUCUGUGUUAAUAAAGCACUUAAAGCUUUAAGUAUGGCUAAAUGCUUUUUUCAAAAUUAAAUAUAUCACUCCUUAGGUGGUAGUGGCCCCAAGUUCAGUAAAGUUGGAAAGAUAUUCACAGAUUCAGACUUCCAGCAUCAAUAACUCAUUAGAUAUAGGUUGUCAAAACAUAAACGGUGCCUCUUUCCCAUUGUUGCAAGGCAGACAAUGUGCUACAAGCCCAGUUUUAUCAAAAGUAGCUGUCUUUCAAGCUACAGGAAUAACAUUGGUGUCUAUGGAGUGAACAGGGUCCGUCUGCAAUUUGCAAAACCACUGCAACAGUAAAGAGAGACAAAUAUUCAAUAACUUCACUCUUAUACAUUGUAGUGUCACUAAAAUCACUGCAGCCUUCAACUGGCUCCUGUUGACAAAGUGUUUUAACAGAAAUGUAAAUGCUGUAAUUUGAUUCUUUUAAUAAACCAUGUAACUUGAAUGGA